GGGGACCAAAAAUCAGACUCUAAGAAUCAUAACUCCAGGCCGAAGGACCUUCAGAAUUAAGCCAGGCUUCUGCAGGCGCUGAAAUUCUUUGUACCCACGUUGAAUAGGAGUGAUGAGAAGGAACAUCUUCGCCUUGUUCCCCAUCUUAGAGGAAAAGCAUUCAAUCUUUUACCAGACUGACAGCUUCCAUUCCUUCCCCGUGUAUGCUUUUAUAUGAACAUUUUAGUAAAGGCAAAACUCUAGAGACAGAGGGAACAACAGUAGUUGCCUGGAGCUAGGGAUGGAAGUGGGGAUUGACCUUGAACAGGCACCAGGGAACUUUCUGGAGUGACGGAAAUGUUCUAAAACUGGAUGAUGGUGAUGGUUGCACACUGUAUGAAUUUAGAAGAAUUCAUCAAACUCUAUAUUUAAAAUGGAUACAUUGAAUCUUUUGUAAAUUGUAUCUCAAAGAAGAAGGAGGAGGAGGAGAAAAAGAAGAAAAGAAAUAAUCAACAAGGAGGGGGGCAAGACAGGGCUUCUGGAGUCCUGGUGAUGUUCUGUUUCUUGAUCUGGG